UGAUGGGAAAUUACCCGCUCCAGUGAUUCUUAAACCAAGGCCACAUUGGACUGGAAAGCAAGUGUUUAACCUCAUCAUACCAAAACAAAUAAAUCUUUUAAGAUAUUCUGCAUGGCAUAAUGAUUCAGAAAAAGGAUACAUAACUCCUGGAGAUACUCAAGUUAGAAUAGAGAAAGGGGAGUUGCUAUCUGGUACUCUUUGCAAAAAGACUCUUGGGACGUCUGCUUCAUGUUAUAUGGGUCGAUUCCUAGACAAAUGCUUGUCUCGUCGCUGCAAACAUCAGCAGUAAAAUACAGCCUGCAGUAGCUGCACUUGCUACCCUGUUAUCGGAGUUGAAAGUGUUAAAUUAAGAAGUGUAUAUAAAGC
rnacentral:misc_RNA from 1 species